GUGCUCACUUCAGCAGCACAUAUAUUAAAAUUGGAAUGAUGUGGAAAAGAUUAGCAUGGCCCCUGUACAAGGAUGACAUGCAAAUUUGUGAAGCUUCCAUAUUUAAA
rnacentral:snRNA from 2 species